rnacentral:rRNA from 1 species
AAGUCGUAACAAGGUUUCCGUAGGUGAACCUGCGGAAGGAUCAUUAUCGAAUUAUAAGCGAGGGUUGUUGCUGGCCUCUUUUGAGGCACGUGCACGCCUGAGCUCUUAAAUCCACAACACACCUGUGAACCCACCGUAGGCCUUCGGGCUUAUGUAUCAUAUACUCUGAAUGUGUCAUAGAAUGUUCGUGUUGCCUUAAAAUGCAAUCAAAUACAACUUUCAACAACGGAUCUCUUGGCUCUCGCAUCGAUGAAGAACGCAGCGAAAUGCGAUAAGUAAUGUGAAUUGCAGAUUUUCAGUGAAUCAUCGAAUCUUUGAACGCACCUUGCGCUCCUUGGUAUUCCGAGGAGCAUGCCUGUUUGAGUGUCAUUAAAUUCUCAACCCCACCGAUUUGCUUUGGGGGGAUUGGACUUGGAGUGUGCUGGCGAAGGUCGGCUCCUCUUUAAAUGCAUCAGUGGAGAGAAACUUGCCCCAGUGUGAUAAUCCUGUUGCGCUGUGGUGGGCGAAAGUCUGCUUCCAACCGUCCUCCGGGACAUACACCAUCUUAUUUUGACCUCAAAUCAGGUAGGACUACCCGCUGAACUUAA